rnacentral:rRNA from 1 species
UACGUAGGGUGCAAGCAUUGUCCGGAAUUAUUGGGCGUAAAGAGCUCGUAGGCGGUCUGUCGCGUCGGCUGUGAAAUCCCGAGGCUCAACCUCGGGUCUGCAGUCGAUACGGGCAAACUAGAGUAUUGCAGGGGAGACUGGAAUUCCUGGUGUAGCGGUGAAAUGCGCAGAUAUCAGGAGGAACACCGGUGGCGAAGGCGGGUCUCUGGGCAAUAACUGACGCUGAGGAGCGAAAGCGUGGGGAGCGAACAGG